AUUGAACGCUGGCGGCAUGCCUUACACAUGCAAGUCGAACGGCAGCACGGGAGCAAUCCUGGUGGCGAGUGGCGAACGGGUGAGUAAAGUAUCGGAACGUGCCCAGUCGUGGGGGAUAACGUAGCGAAAGUUACGCUAAUACCGCAUACGAUCUAUGGAUAAAAGCGGGGGAUCGAAAGACCUCGCGUUAUUGGAGCGGCCGAUAUCGGAUUAGCUAGUUGGUGAGGUAAAGGCUCACCAAGGCGACGAUCCGUAGCUGGUCUGAGAGGACGACCAGCCACACUGGAACUGAGACACGGUCCAGACUCCUACGGGAGGCAGCAGUGGGGAAUUUUGGACAAUGGGGGCAACCCUGAUCCAGCCAUUCCGCGUGAGUGAAGAAGGCCUUCGGGUUGUAAAGCUCUUUCGGCAGGAACGAAACGGCGGGCUCUAACAUAGCCUGUCACUGACGGUACCUGAAUAAGAAGCACCGGCUAACUACGUGCCAGCAGCCGCCGUAA
rnacentral:rRNA from 1 species